AGCUUUGCACAGGGGCAGUAUCGUAGCCAAUGAGGUUUCUUCGAGGUGCAAUUGACUAUCGGUGAUUGAGCCUUUCCUUACUGCCCUGUGACGACUUGCAAUAUAGUCAGCAAUGGCAAUUUUGGACAGUCUCUCCAGAGA
ensembl:snRNA U4 U4 spliceosomal RNA